rnacentral:rRNA from 1 species
GCCAUCCCGCGUGUAUGAUGAAGGCCUUCGGGUUGUAAAGUACUUUUGGCAGAGAAGAAAAGGUAUCCCCUAAUACGGGAUACUGCUGACGGUAUCUGCAGAAUAAGCACCGGCUAACUACGUGCCAGCAGCCGCGGUAAUACGUAGGGUGCAAGCGUUAAUCGGAAUUACUGGGCGUAAAGCGUGUGUAGGCGGUUCGGAAAGAAAGAUGUGAAAUCCCAGGGCUCAACCUUGGAACUGCAUUUUUAACUGCCGAGCUAGAGUAUGUCAGAGGGGGGUAGAAUUCCACGUGUAGCAGUGAAAUGCGUAGAUAUGUGGAGGAAUACCGAUGGCGAAGGCAGCCCCCUGGGAUAAUACUGACGCUCAGACACGAAAGCGUGGGGAGCAAACAGGAUUAGAUACCCUGGUAGUCCACGCCCUAAACGAUGUCAACUAGCUGUUGGGGCCGUUAGGCCUUAGUAGCGCAGCUAACGCGUGAAGUUGACCGCCUGGGGAGUACGGUCGCAAGAUUAAAACUCAA